rnacentral:rRNA from 1 species
ACGCGUGGAACCUUACCAGGUCUUGACAUCCUCUGACACUCCUAGAGAUAGGACGUUCCCCUUCGGGGGACAGAGUGACAGGUGGUGCAUGGUUGUCGUCAGCUCGUGUCGUGAGAUGUUGGGUUAAGUCCCGCAACGAGCGCAACCCUUGAUCUUAGUUGCCAGCAUUUAGUUGGGCACUCUAAGGUGACUGCCGGUGACAAACCGGAGGAAGGUGGGGAUGACGUCAAAUCAUCAUGCCCCUUAUGACCUGGGCUACACACGUGCUACAAUGGAUGGUACAAAGGGCAGCAAAGCGGUGACGCCUAGCAAAUCCCAUAAAACCAUUCUCAGUUCGGAUUGCAGGCUGCAACUCGCCUGCAUGAAGCUGGAAUCGCUAGUAAUCGCGGAUCAGCAUGCCGCGGUGAAUACGUUCCCGGGCCUUGCACUCACCGCCCGU